GUGCCAGCAGCCGCGGUAAUACGUAGGGGGCGAGCGUUGUCCGGAAUUACUGGGCGUAAAGAGCACGUAGGCGGCUUGUUAAGAUGGGCGUGAAAUCUCCGGGCUUACCUCGGAGGGGUCGUCCGUGACUGGCAGGCUUGGGUCUGGGAGAGGCGAGUGGAAUUCCCGGUGGAGCGGUGAAAUGCGUAGAGAUCGGGAGGAACACCAGUGGCGUAGGCGACUCGCUGGGCCAGUACCGACGCUGAGGUGCGAAAGCGUGGGGAGCGAACCGGAUUAGAUACCCGUGUAGUCC
rnacentral:rRNA from 1 species